GCAAUAGAGGUGCAAAAUACAUGAGUCGCGUGCCCCAGGUCGUCGGCGGCCGUUCACGACACGCUAAAGGGUAUUUUGCCGAAAACAAAACCCGCCGACAGGUCUUUGUUUGGGUGCGUUUGCGAACAGCGGCGCAACUGUCAUCACGAGGUUUCGGAUGGAGCGCUAUUGU
rnacentral:ncRNA from 1 species